UGGUUUGGAACUGUUUUUGUUUUUCAUUUUUCCCUCCCCUAAGAAAACACGCUAAAACACGCCUGAAAAACAGCCAAUUAAUGAACCAACACACUGGUUCGACCCACAAGAACGACAAAAAGUAAUUCCCGCGCCUCCUUUUUUUUUCACUCAAUAUUUUAGCGCCUAACUCUGAUAACCCUUUAUCUUGCUCUGCGCCUUCAUUGACUCCCUCUUGCUCACAGAGAAAACCUUGAUUGAGAGAACAACUUGUAAGGAUGAAUGUUGAACCAAAUUAUUAUUUAGUGGAUUCUGGUUAUCCAUGCACCUUGGGGUUUCUACCUCCGUACCGUACUGAGAGAUACCAUCUAUGAGACUUUCGAGGUGGGGAUCAUCCUGAAGGUGCUAAAGAGCUUUUCAAUUAUAGACAUUCAUCUCUUUGUAAUAUAAUUGAAAGAUGUUUUGGCGUUUUAAAGGCAAGAUUUCCAAUCUUAAAAAUGAUGCCCCGUUACAAACCAUGUCAACAAGGGAAUGUGAUGAGAGCCUGUUGCACAAUUCAUAACUUCAAUCGAAUGGCAACAAAAAAUGAUCGCUUGUUUACUCACUUCAAUAUUGAUAACCUUACUGUUGAAGGUGAAGGUUGGGAUAAUUUGGGUGAGCCAUCGCAUACUAUUGACUUAACUGAUCAAGCCGCUAAAGCUAUGGCAGCUUAUAGGGAUCAUAUCGCAGGAUUGAUGUUGGCAAAUAAUAGGCAUCAUUGAUGCCAUGUUAUUUUAUUUUUAUUUUUUGGAUGAAAUUGAUUCCCUUGCAUUGAUGCCAUGUAGUAAACUUUUUAGUUAUUGAUUAUCUUUUAUAAUACUUGAUAAUUGUU